rnacentral:rRNA from 1 species
AGAACGAACGCUGGCGGCAGGCUUAACACAUGCAAGUCGAACGGAUGUAGCAAUACAUCAGUGGCAGACGGGUGAGUAACACGUGGGAACCUUCCUCGUUGUACGGAACAACUCAGGGAAACUUGAGCUAAUACCGUAUACGUCCGAGAGGAGAAAGAUUUAUCGCAAUGAGACGGGCCCGCGUCGGAUUAGCUAGUUGGUGGGGUAACGCCUACCGAAGGCGACGAUCCGUAGCUGAUCUGAGAGGAUGAUCAGCCACACUGGGACUGAGACACGGCCAGACUCCGUACGGGAGCAGCAGGUGGGGAAUCGUUGGACAAGUGGCGCAAGGCCUGACUCCAGCCAUGCCGCGUGAGUGAAGAGGCUUAGGUAGUAAG